rnacentral:rRNA from 1 species
UACGGGGGGGUAAGCGUUGUUCGGAAUUACUGGGCGUAAAGGGCUCGUAGGCGGCCAACUAAGUCAGACGUGAAAUCCCUCAGCUUAACUGGGGAACUGCGUCUGAUACUGGAUGGCUUGAAUCCGGGAGAGGGAUGCAGAAUUCCAGGUGUAGCGGUGAAAUGCGUAGAUAUCUGGAGGAAUACCGGUGGCGAAGGCGGCAUCCUGGACCGGCAUUGACGCUGAAGCGCGAAAGCUAGGGGAGCAAACGGGG